UGCAGCAUUACCAAGAGACUGAGCAGAGUUGUAUCAGAGUCACCUCUUUCAUCUGCAAAGGUAGAGCGUAAACCUUUGGAGGAACCUGUCACAGGAAAGAGCUCCUUCUGGAACUGUUCAGCACUCGGGAGGCAACUGGGUGACUGGCUUGAUCUACUUCUGAGGUGCUGAGGCAAGGAGGCUGCUGUUUUGAAACGAUAGUAUUCUGAAACACAGUGUACGACACGGGACUUGACGACCAGAGCUGCUUUUGGCAAGGUGAGUGAUGAACAGAUAUAGAAGGUAAUUUAGGGGUGCAGUUGUCACUGCAGUUACUGAACUACACAAAGUACAGUAAAAAUCCUGUUUAUAUUUCAGGGGUGUUGUAGCUGGCCUAAGAGAGCAGAUGGAAGCAUCUGCCUCGAGGGGAGGGGAGGGCAGGGCACGGAGGUAAGGCAGCAGAUGAGAGUAACUGUCCCAGCUGUGCUGUGGCUUUGGAUGCUGCUUCAGCCUAUGCUUUUCUUUUUGUUUCACAUUUGUCUCACACAGGCUGAGUGGGGCCAAGCUGCACUCUGAAGAGCAGCACGAGAA